UACGGAGGGUGCGAGCGUUGUCCGGAAUCAUUGGGCGUAAAGGGCGCGUAGGUGGCCCGGUCAGUCUUUGGUGAAAGCGCGGGGCUCAACCCUGCGUCGGCCAGGGAUACUGCCGCGGGCUCGAGCACUGUAGAGGCAGGCGGAAUUCCGGGUGUAGCGGUGGAAUGCGUAGAGAUCCGGAAGAACGACCGGUGGCGAAGGCGGCCUGCUGGGCAGUUAGCUGACACUGAGGCGCGACAGCGUGGGGAGCAAACAGG
rnacentral:rRNA from 1 species